AGGCGGCCGCGGAGACGCCUCCCCGGCGGGCCGGGAGGGAGUCGCGCGGGAACAACUGUCAACACCUAGUUCUGCCAGAGUCUUAUCGCAUCCGAAUUGCCUCCGCACACCCGAGGGCGGCUUCGGGAUUCGAGCCCACCGCCGCCCGCCCGUGAUCUACUGAGGCGUGGUCUGGACCGGUCUUUCAGGGCCCUGCCUAACCUGAGAAGACUGCACAAUAGAGCUCACUGGUCCGAGGAACUCUCCCCGCCUACCCCUGGUGAUGAGAGGAAAAGAAUAGAAAUGCCAAUCGCCAGAGGAAAGAGAGUAACAAUACAGAAAUGACGGAAGUAGAAAAGCAGAAAGAUCAUAAUCAAACCCUGCUAACCAUGCAAGCACAUGAGAAAGUUUUCUCAGUUUUGAAUGAUAUUCACAUUGGAAACAAACAGGAUUAUGCAAAUUAUUGUCUAGUCUGACUACCUAUAACUGCUAUCAACCACACUAAAAAAAAAGUCAAUGCAAGUUCAUGAAAGUGAAGAUAUUAUGGGACAACAAAUCAAGCUGCUGUGUUGUGAACUGCCUAUGGAGAGGACCAUGUGGCAAGAAACUCAGGUGGCCUCUAGAAACUGAAAACAGCCUCUGGAUGGCAGCCAGCAAAAAACAUCUAAAGCCCCGAGUCCUACAGCUGCAAGGAAAUGGAUUCUGCUAAAAAUCUCAGAGAAUCUGGAAGCAGAUUCUUCUUUGCUUGAGCCUCCAAAUGGGAACAGAGCCCACCCAAAACAUUCGGUGUAACCAGGAGAGACCCAAAAGUGGAAAC